AGCGACAAUGAAGACGGUGGUGGUGCGGGAAAUAGGGUUGGAAAUAGUGGUGGAAGUGGAAGAGGGAAGGUGGCGGAAUAGAUGAGCGAUUCCUCUGAGUUCCGAUAGAUGUAAGCUCCCGCUGCUGCUGCUAAGGUCACUGUUAGGGUUUGGGCCGUAUACGGCGGAGGAAGUGGUGGCGAUGGUGGUCGGAAUUGGUUGUGGAGAGUCG
rnacentral:misc_RNA from 1 species